GCACAUAUUUCCCCGAAUAAAUCUACUCUUCUUUACUUUUCCUUAUUUUAUUUUAUUUAUUGAUACAAACAAUUUGUGUUCGUAUAAAGAAUCUACUGAAUUAAUAUUUAUGUUUAAACCCAAUUAUGUGGAAUUAACAAUAAAAGCAACAAAUCGUUAUUUAUCAUAUCAAAAGUAAUAAAUAAUUACCAAAAUUGAUAAUAGAAGAAUAUCCCAACUCAGGAUAAAAAAAAAAAAAAAAAAAAAAACAUCGUGACAAAUUUUUCAGGAAACAAUUCACCAGAGAAGUGAACUUACAAUUAGUCUAGACAUUACUAAACCUUAGUCGACUCUGACCACAGAACUUGUAUGUCACCAAGGAAUUCAUUUGAUUGUGCAAGCAUACACUUCUCAGGACUCUAGGUUACCUUUCUCUCCAUUGGAUCACCACGAAUUAACUUCAUUAUUCACUAGAAUGUUGUUCCACAUUGCUGGAACUCCAAGCGUUUCUUUCCUAACUUUAGAAAUUUGAAGGCUUAUUAGAGAAUUUGGGAUUGUUGGUUUGGUGUUUGAUCAAAUAUCUUUCUGUGUUUUGAUCAUUGAGGAAAGAAAUAUCAGAAUAUGUAUUUGUAUUUCAAAGUAUGUUCUCUUGACUUAAUUCAAGGCCCAACUAAUGUUGGAACAAUGUUUGGAAUGAAGAUAUGAAUAUUAUGUUGAAUCUAUGAAUCAAAGGAAUCUAUUUAUGAUCUUCAAUAAUAAUAUUUCUAAGGAAAAAUAAUGAUUUAACACAUCUUAGGACAUUCCAUGGCUAUAUAUUUAUAGUGGAAUGUUUAGGAUGAAAAGGGGUUCAAAAAUCAUAGUUUUAUGUGAAGACAACUUGAAAAUCAAAUUGUCGAUUGAGUUCGUGGGCGCAGCAAGCAAAUGAUCCUUGAGCAGCGAGCGGUAUUUUAGUCAUAAUUUUCUUUCUUGAUAUCCGAUUGAAAUGAUUCAAAAUACAUUGGGAGCUAAGUCACAUGUCUGCAAUUCUUCUAGAAGUACCAUUUUUCAAUUUCGAAUGUUUAUAUGUGAAAAUGCAUUGCAACAUGUAGCUGAGAACUUGAAGCAAAACUUGUGUAAUACUUUGACAAUCCUUUGACUUGUAAUUACAUCCCAUUGAUCUUAUAUAAUCUUUUUGGACAUCUUUGUCUCUUUCAAAAGACUCUAUCAAUCCCAAAAAAAUUUACCAUAAAUUGGACUCAAUAUAUCUUUUUUUUUUCUUUUUUUUUUACUUUGAUUAUAACUCGAUAAACUCAUAAUAUAAUUCAACAAGAACAUGAUUUUGACUAAGGAAAUUGCCAAUUACAAAUUUGGACCUAACAAUCUCCCUCUUUCAAAUUCGAAUUAACAAAAAAAAUCUGUACAAAGACUUAAUGUCCAAAAUUUAUUUCAACCAUCUUGUCAACCUAUUUCCUAAAACACAUACAAAACGACAAUGCUAUGUGAGAAGCAAAAGGAAAUUGACAAGUAAUAAAGUAGAACUAGCAAAUCAAAACAUAAUAUUGAUAUUAGACAAAACACCAAAUCAAACAUAAUAUCAAAUAAAAAAAUUGCUAGCUUCUCUCCCUGACUCAUAUCCAAUCAUCAAAUCAAAUAAAGUCAAAAAUUUCUUCUUCGAACUCAAAUAAUCAAGUCUCUGAAAUAAAUCUCUCCAUUUGAGUUUACUUUCAAAUACAUUUUGAAUCACCUCAAUUGAACAUUGAGAGAAAAAUUUAUCAUAUAAAAUAUUGAUCUUGGCUCAAGCACUGCUAGCUAGCUAAGAGCCUAUGCGAUUGAGUGGAGAUUUGAUUUCAGGUUGCCCAAUUCAUGUAAGACAGUUACUUUUGAACCCCUUCUCACCAAAAAAUCUUCCAUUAUAAAUAUGCAAGUCGUGGAAUGUCCCAAGGUUUGUGGAAUCAUUAUUUUGACUUGGAGAUCUUGUUAUCGAAAAUCAUAAACACAUUUCUUUAAUUUUUAGAUUCAACACAAUAUUCAUAUAUUCAUCCAAAACAUUGUUCUAACAUUGGUUGAGCCUUGAAUUUAGUUAAUAGAACAUACUUUGAAAUUCAAAUCAAUAUUCUAGUAUCACUUGCCUCAAUCAAUAGAUCAAAAUAUAAAAAGAUCUUUGAUCCAACAUUAAAAUAAAAAACCCUACCUUCGCCAAUAAACCUUUAGAGUUUUGAAGUUUUGAAAGAGGCGGUUGGAGUUCUGGAGCUGCAGAACGAUGUUCCAAUGAAGAAAGAGAUUCGCUGUUGGCGAUCUAGUGGAGAGAAAAGUGGGUCAAAGUUCUGGAAAGUGUGGACAUGUACAACCAAAGGUGUUCCUUGGUGAUUUUAUAAAUUAGGUGGUCAAAAUCAAUUAAAGUUUAGUAAUAUUUGGACUAAUUGUAAGGAAACUUUUCUAGCGAAUUGUUUGCUGGAAAGUUUGCCAGAAGAUUUUUUACGUAAGUUGAAAAUCCCCCCCCCCCCCCCCCCCCCCGAUCCAUAUCUUCAAUUGGAUUAAAGACUAAAAGAGAUGGGACUUGCACAUGGAUCGAAUGAAAUUUUAGGCUGUCAUCAAUUUCUUUUGGACUCUUCAAAUUUCAACAACCUAAAUGCUUCACAAUGAUAAAUACAUAUCAACUUUUUAACUAAUAUAAUCUUAGCUGUUGUUUUAGACAAAAAGAAAAAAUUUUAGUAACAUGGUGUAAAUAUCUAUGCCCAAAAUUAGCAUUCCUAUUGACCCCCUUUUUUGCAAUGGCAAUGUAGAUAAUGGAUCUUAGGCCUUCUCGUGUUCGCUUGAACAAAUUUCAGCAUAUUUCAAUUGAAAUAAUCAAUCGGAGGGUCAAUGGACGUGAUAGAUGCUCUAUAACACGAGACGAACACGUUCGAGCAUCGAUGGUGUGAUCGAGAACAAUUGAAAAUAAAUAGUCGCAAACCGUCUCACCAAAAUCGAAAUGAUUUGAGCUCAAGUAUGUAAAUGUGGAAUGAACAAGAGAGGUUUUACUGAGAAUUCAAGAGUGUAAUCUUACAUAUAUUAUUUCCAAUCCCUUGUAAGGUUACGAGAAUUGCUAUUAAUAAAAUCUGGGCCAACAUGAUUACCGUUGGAUCAAAACCACAUAGCCUCGUCCUGUUAACUAGAGCCUUACAUCUUUCUGUCCCAAAUUAAUUAUAUUGACAGGUGGUCAACCGACCUACAUAAUACAAUGAUAUUUCUGACAUCCAUUAAUACAAAUGUUAUAUUAAUCAUUCCUAUAGAAACUCUACAGAUUUUCAUUGAAGGCAGCAAGCACUUAGAUCUAGAGAGAGGACUUCGAUAGGGAAUGAAAAAUACUUUAGCUGGUAGAGGUUCUACCAAAGACAGUGCCUCGGCUAGAGAAGUAGUGUUUCUGCCAAAAAAUGAUCGUCUUUUUCAUUUGUCCUUAUUUUGACUUUGUUGACUACUAGAUGUCUUGCACACACUGCCUUAGUGUAGCUUUCACUGGAGUUUCAAAUAUGAGACAUAACAAUAGUCUCCCAAGUCCAUAUAUGAUCAUUAAUGUAGUACAUGGACUUUCGUGUUAUAUUGAAAUAAAAAUUUAAAAAUUUUUGUGGGGGUGAUUAUUUUUAAUCCCAUAAUAAUAGUUUCCCAAGUCUAAUUGUAAAUAUUUAUAUAUAAAAAUUAGAAUUUGAAAGUAAAAUAUAUGACUAAAUAUUCGAAAUACUUAUUGAGAUCACGUGCUAAAGUUGUAUGUUGGGCUUCCUAUUUUUUCAACAUUUAAGCGAAAUUGAGGUACAUUGCUGCUUGCCAUUCUCUCAUUUUUUUAAAGGUCCAGCCAAAGCUGUGAAUGUGGAAGCUGAAAUGGGGAGUUUCAUCAAAUUCACCGAAGCCGUAGGCUAUCAUUCUGAGGAGGCAAGUAUGGGUGUGAUGAAUACAAGGCGUCCUGAAUUAUAGCUCCCAAAUGAUUUGCUGUUUUUGCAAAUUUUCAAGAAAUGACAGGUGAGGUGCUUCACUUUCCAAUACACACAACUGUUGCUGUAUUUAAUGAGCAAUGAUGGCUAUCAUAGGCUUGUUCUAUGGGAUUGAAACUCCAUAUAGUGCGUGUUGUAGACAUUCUUACUGAUCCCCAGAUGAAGAAACAACAGAUGUGAUGGGCGAUUUAGAAAGAAUUUUGAAUGAAUGGCUGGAUGGUUCGAAUCAUCAUUUAAUGGCUAGGAUCGAACGCCUCUAGCUAUAUCUUGGGUGAAGAAUCACUUUUGCCUUUGCAAAUCGUAGCACUCUAAUCAUUUCAUUACUUUCUCCCUUUUGCUCCAAUCAUCCUUCCUUUCAAUCAUUCUUCACACUUUUAGUUGUUUUCCUCCGAUGUUGUGUUUAAUGUCGUAAUUAUUUGAAUCUUUUCAUGAAUUUUGGAUCUAAUGUCUUCUUUACCAUCUGGGGAGAACUUAGACAUUAGCCAUGUAGCCUCUAAAAUGGGGGUCACCAUAACUAACACAACUGACUUUACCUAAGCCAUUAAGGCUAGGUAGAAUAUCUUACCUUCAAGGAAGUCUAGGUUAGAAGAGAUAGGUUGGCGGCUACAAAAAUCCCUUCUAUAGUAUCUACAUCCCACUUAACAUAUUUAAGAGAAAAUUAAUGUAUCCUUUAUGACAUUGAACUCUCAGCUCCCCUUACCGAUGAACGAGCCUGCUUUCCCAAGUAAGGACACGUCACCAUUAGUGAGUAUCUUUUAAAAGUAGGGCUUUCUUUAUCACUUCAUCCUUUCUUUAUAGGCAUACUUAGGUUGUAUGGACUGGCUCCCACCUAGCUCAUCCCCAAUGCUUGGCCAGUUAGUAUGAACCUAUUUUUUUGUGGAAGGAGACCUCAUUUUGCAAGUAUAUGCCUCUCCACAUUUUUCAAACCAUUUUUCAACCCGGGGUUUUGGAAAAGGGAGAUUCUAAGGGUUGGUAUUCCUUAUGUCCACGGGGUUCAUACUCCCUCUUCGUCAUAUGACUUCCUUCCUUUAUCAAAGGAUGACACAAUUUCCAAUGUGACAAUUCCUACCUCCUACUCAGAAACUCAUGAGUGUUGUUCCUUAAUUAGAUUGUCGACCUAGAUAUUGAUUUGGUUUUGAUUCUAACCUUCUUUGUUUUGCAAGAUCAGUUGAUUGCUUCGGUCAUUCAACCAGAGUUAGAGGUUGUUGAGGACAUCGACCUACACAUAUUGUCUUCAAGAAAGUUUGAAAGGUUGAUUGUUUCUCAUCUAUUCUUUGAGGAAUGAUUGAUUGCUAGAAGAAGUAAUUACACUUUGUCAAAAUUUUCAUGUCAUUGGUUUGCAAAAUUUAUGACCUUCUUUUAUCUUUUUGUAGAAUAUUUUGAAAAGAAGGGCAUCCCACCUUGGAUAUGGCUAUCAUCUUUACUAUCACAUCCAAUGCUAGAAGGAAGGGAUUUAAGUCCUCAUCUAUUGUAGUGACGUAGUUGAGGACCAAAUUGAGAAGGAAAAAGGCCACUGGCCAUGAAGGAGAUAGACGACCUCCUAUGAAGGAUAAAGGAAAAAAAUACGAUAGAGGAAGUCCUCGAGAAAAAAAAAUUCUCUACCAUCGAAGAGGGUGUCCAUGGUUAGCUCCCAUCUCGCUUCAAAAUCCCUAUGGAUCAUGUAUAUUUAGUAAAAUAGAUCUCAAAAUAAGAAAUCACCAAAUUAGGAUGAAAGAAUGAGGUGAAUGGAAAAGAGCUUUUAAGACUAAAUAUGGACUGUAUGAGGGGUUAGUUAUACCAUUUGGACUUACUAAUGCACUAGCACUUUGAUGAGAUCAAUGACCAUGUUUUACGUGCAUUCAUAGGUAAAUUCGUAGUAGUUCACUUUGAUGGCAUUCUAGUAUAUAGUAAUAACUUACAUGAGCG
rnacentral:lncRNA from 1 species